GUAAAAAUUAGCAAAUAAAAACAGUGGCAGCAUCUCACCACAUUUUUCACACAGAAAAUAUGGUCAAAAAUGCAUCAAUCUUCUAUGAAGAUGUUUCAUUCUCUAACAUGUUUCAUUAUGUUUCCUUUUGCACUGAUCAUGACUUAUCUUGAACACAGUACCCUUAACUUUGGUAACUUUUAUUCCGUUCUUUCUUAUCCCAUUCUUUCUCAUAAAAAGCAGUAAAUGACCUGAUACGUAGUUGGCUGCUGCACAGUUACACUGAGCUGAAAACUACUGUGAGUGGGAACUGGCUUGAAGACCACUGCAUAUUCACUUUUCUAAGUGAAAAGCCUCUCUCUUUUGCAGGUACUUCAGUCUUGGCCUGUUGCCGAAACACUUGCUUGUGGAGGUGUCUUGCCAUCAGCUAUAGUUCAAUUAAGCAGAGCUAAACAGAGCGCAACGUCUUUCCACAAGGACUCCUCACUGUCAUCUUGCUCUGUCACUGUGGGCUGCCAGCCACUCAAGCCCUUAACCAGGUAACAUCUGAACCAGUGCUGUAGGUACAGUUGAUCCUGAGUGCACAGGAACAGUGAUAGGUCAGAUCAGUGUUGUUCAGUCUGUGAUCUGCUCCAUGAAACAUGGGAAUGUGAUCCAGGAAAUGACUGCAAAAUACCUUUUUGAAAAUUCUGCAUGCAGAACAUGAGCAAACAAGAAAAAAAAAAGAAGUAAAGCUUCGCUGAAAUUUAUCCGCCGGAAACCAGUGCAUGAAAUCAGGGCCAGGAGGGAGGAAGCGCCGUUGUCCCGAGGGAGCAUGUCCCCGCUGAUCCCCGCUUCUCUUCUCAGAGGAGCUGUGCCGUUAACUCGAUCAGCCUUUGAACGUGAAAAGAAGCUGUCACUUCAGUUGUUUGCUCAUGUAGGAAACGUUCCUGCGCUUAUUUGGAGCAAAGCAACAGCGCGACGGAUAAAGCUCUUCCAGUCUGACUCAGGAUUUAGGAGCUAGUUGUAGAGGACAUUUGUGUUGUGUUUUCCUCUUCAUUGUACUAUUAAAAUUGCUGCCAGAUUCUCCAGCGCGUUUGUAGAGUGGUGAGAAAUUGAAGAGCCAUAAAUAAUCUUCCAAGAAGCUGUCUCCCAGCGUGUGGCUGUAAAUCUUAGUACGGCUUCUUGUAUUGCCAUGGAAAUUAAGAAAUCACUACCAGCUUAAAUGCCACGGAGAAGAAAACGAUGUAAGGAAAUGCCAAAACAUAGCAGGACAAAAUCUUUCCCUUCUGAAUUUCCAGUGAGAUAGCUGGCUUCUGACAAGAGUUAAAUAGACCGACAGGGACUGCAAUCUGCGUGUCUCUGAAGGUCCCCCUGGUAGAGAGAAGUAAUAUCUGUGGUGGCUACAGUGCAUUGAAACUUUCUAACUUGCCCCUUGCAAAGAAAGUUUCCCACAGAAGUGCUAGUUAAACAUUAAUGCAGUACCUUUGUUUGUGCCAUGGGUAUAGUAUUCCCCAGGAGAGGGACAAGCACAGGUGAAUGAUCCUAGACCUGUGUUUCUCUCACCUUUCACAGAUCCAGUGUUAAAUCCUGGCUUAAGGUUUCUUUAUUUACCAGAUAGCGUGAGAGAGUCUGUGAUACUGCUUACAUAGUGAUUUUAGCAACUAGUGUAGCUGACUGCGUAGUUUGCUUGUAGAGGUGUGGUGAAAGGUGUGGUUAGACAACAAAGGCUAAGCCUAUUUAGGAGAGCGUUAAUGCCAAAAGUAGCAGUCUCUCCCUCCUUUCCCUGUCUCUCAAGUAUUCGCUAUUGCCAGUUCCUCUGUCCUGACACUGGUGUUUCUCUGAUCCUCCUGUGAGCUGAGUCACUUCAUUAAGAUAGUGGAAAACUGCCCCACAAAGAAAACGUGAUCCACCUUCUGCUCGAUCUGUAGUAGGGAACUGUAUCCGUUCACUGAAGGGUGAUCAGAUGAGCUGGCAUGAGGAAAAGGGUGGGAGCACGUGUUGGGGAACAGCAGGGAUUGGGA
ensembl:lncRNA